UACGUAGGGGGCGAGCGUUGUCCGAAGUUACUGGGCGUAAAGCGCACGUAGGCGGUUAUCUAAGUCUGGGGUGAAAGGUUCAGUGCUUAACGCGAACAGUGCCUUGGAGACUGGAUGACUUGAGUUUGGGAAAGGGUAGUGGAAUGGCUGGUGUAGCGGUGAAAUGCGUAGAUAUCAGUCGGAACACCAACGGCGAAGGCAGCUACCUGGCCUAAAACUGACGCUGAGGUGCGAAAGCGUGGGGAGCGAACGGG
rnacentral:rRNA from 1 species